GAAGAUGAUCAACGUGCAGCGUCUGC
rnacentral:piRNA from 1 species